AGUGAACGCUGGCGGUAGGCCUAACACAUGCAAGUCGAACGGCAGCACAGUAAGAGCUUGCUCUUACGGGUGGCGAGUGGCGGACGGGUGAGGAAUACAUCGGAAUCUACUUUUUCGUGGGGGAUAACGUAGGGAAACUUACGCUAAUACCGCAUACGACCUACGGGUGAAAGCAGGGGAUCUUCGGACCUUGCGCGAUUGAAUGAGCCGAUGUCGGAUUAGCUAGUUGGCGGGGUAAAGGCCCACCAAGGCGACGAUCCGUAGCUGGUCUGAGAGGAUGAUCGGCCACACUGGAACGGAGACACGCUCCAGACUCCUACGGGAGGCAGCGGUGGGGAAUAUGGGAAAAGGGGCGAAAGCCUAACCCAGCCAGACCGCGUGGGUGAAGAAGGCCUUCGGGUUGUAAAGCCCUUUUGUUGGGAAAGAAACGCAGCAGGUUAAUACCCCGCUGUUCUGACGGUACCCAAAGAAUAAGCACCGGCUAACUUCGU
rnacentral:rRNA from 1 species